rnacentral:rRNA from 1 species
UAGUUGGCAGGGUAAAAGCCUACCAAGGCAUAGAUCGGUAGCCGGCCUGAGAGGGCACACGGCCACACUGGCACUGAAACACGGGCCAGACUCCUACGGGAGGCAGCAGUGGGGAAUCUUGCACAAUGGGGGAAACCCUGAUGCAGCGACGCCGCGUGAGCGAUGAAGCCCUUCGGGGUGUAAAGCUCUUUCGGCAGGGAAGAUAGUGACGGUACCUGCAGAAGCAGCUGCGGCUAACUACGUGCCAGCAGCCGCGGUAAUACGUAGGCAGCGAGCGUUGUUCGGAGUUACUGGGCGUAAAGGGUGUGUAGGCGGUUGUUUAAGUUUGGUGUGAAAUCUCCCGGCUCAACUGGGAGGGUGCGCCGAAUACUGAGCGACUAGAGUGCGGGAGAGGAAAGUGGAAUUCCUGGUGUAGCGGUGAAAUGCGUAGAUAUCAGGAGGAACACCGGUGGUGUAGACGGCUUUCUGGACCGUAACUGACGCUGAGACACGAAAGCGUGGGUAGCAAACAGGAUUAGAUACCCUGGUAGUCCACGCCCUAAACGAUGCAUAUUUGGUGUGGGCAGUUCAUUCUGUCCGUGCCGGAGCUAACGCGUUAAAUAUGCCGCCUGGGGAGUACAGUCGCAAGGCUGAAACUCAAAGGAAUUGACG